rnacentral:rRNA from 1 species
GAUGAACGCUGGCGGCGUGCCUAACACAUGCAAGUCGAACGGACGGACGAGGCUUUUGCUUCGCGGACGUGAGGGGAGGGCGGGUGAGACACGUGUGUAUCCCGUACCUAUCAUUCUGAGAUCUUUACGAGAAACCGGAUAUAACACCGGAGGAGAUUCUGAACCGCGUGGGUCAAUGGAGAGAGACGGUCUUGCUGGCACUAAUAGCGGGUUCCCGGCUGCAUUGGCUAGUUGGUAAGGUAACGGCCUACCAAGGCGAGGAGGCGUAACCGAACUGAGAGGGGGAUCGGCCACACUGGAACUGAGACACGGUCCAGACGCCUACGGGAGGCAGCAGUCGGGAAUGUUACGCAAUGGGCGAAAGCCUGACGGAGCAAGGCCGCGUGUGUGAUGGAGAUCUUCGGAGCGUAAAGCCCUGUUACUGGGGAUGAACCGAUGUGUAAGUAGAUGUGGAGUGAUUGACGGUACCUAAUCAGGAAGCAACGGCUAACUACGUG